ensembl:lncRNA
AUUUUUUUAACCUUUUAAUUUACAUACAUACAUACAUACAUACACACACACACACACACACACGUCUGAGCAUUAGUGUGACCGGAAAUUAUAUAACUUUUAAGCUGCAGCUGUCAUUACGUGUUACUUUGUUGUUACUUUAAAACCUUAAAAUGUGACUGUCAUUUUAAACAGGAGAUAUAGAAGAAUUUUAACUCAUUCUAAUAUAUCAUUAUAGCACAAGUUAUACUUCUGAGACAGCGUAAAGUCAUUUCAGUUAAAAGCAACUUUCUAGAAAGCAGUUCCUUAAAGAAUCUAUCCUGACAUUUGCCAUUUAAGGGAAACUGGUUUUAUAGUUUAAAAAAAAAAAAAACUAAACUAAAAUGUUCUAGUCCCAGCAGUAUUUGUCUUUUAGUCCCAACAUGUCCAUGACAGUCUCAAGUUUCAUGUCAGAUGGUGCCACCUAAUGGCAGAACAUAAGCAUGGACGUGUAGGAACACUGUAUGCUGGAUAGGAAACAGUUGAUAGAUUAAAUGUGCUGUGAAGUUCAAAAACAUGGAAUGCCUCUGCUAAGGACUUGGAGGGAUUGCCAAACAAAAUGGAAUUAGUCACAGGCCUGCAGUCUCCACAUCUCAAAGCAAUUUAACAAGAUCCACCAAAACCACAAUUUGGACAAACAGCAUUUCAUCAGUCAAGGGAAUUAUCAGAGACAUGCACAUUUUCAAAGCUUAUAAUGAACAAUCUUAUUUCUACCACCUAUGUUCUAUCCAUACCUCCUGGAGGAUACUUAACUGAUAAAGAGAUGAAUUUGGUCGCUUUGCUGGUUGUUGAAAAGGAACAUGGGAGUUAAGCAUUGCGAGUGCACUGCAUGCAGCAGUUUUCCAUGAAGGCCUGUUUUCUCUCUUCUUGCAGUUACCCAGUGAAUUUAGAUGUGCACCUGAGACUCAUUUGUCUCUGGUGCACAUCAAAAAUCUGACUUUAUCUAGUAACCAGACUGAAUACUGCUCUGAAUCAGUUGGAUUUUCUCUUUUAAGUUAAAAGCAAUCUGGAAAUAAAAGGUGCAAAAAAGUAUUCAAGAUUUCAUACGUUUUCAGUUACAUGCUGAAAAAAAAAAAAAUGUAAACUUUGGCUCUAUAUGCAGAACCAAUGUUAAAGUCUCUAUUUUGUUUAAGUUCUGUACAGUAGGGUUCUUUGCCUGGGUCCCCCCACCCUUUAAAAAAGAAAAGAAAGAAAAAAAGUUCCAGUUGAACUGGGUCACCAGCAAAAUGAAGAGCAGGUCAUUACGCAUCACCUGUGCUUUCAGAGCAGAUCUUCUUUGCCUGCCGUAGUGCUGCACAUGAAUGGCUUCAGUUUGAGCUAAAAAUUUGAAACAUGCACCACCUGCUCUCACAACCGUGAGAUAUUACUAUAAAGUAUAAAUAAGCUAGCCCACACACAGACUCAUCUAGAAAGAUUUAUUUACAUUUCCCCUAAAGAUCAGUUUAAUUGUAUCCAUGCAGUUAAUGAUCCAUCUUCUGAUGUUGGCCCUGGAAUGAGAAAGAUAAUUAGUGAUGUUGAGCUUAUGCAGGUUCUAAAGGGAAAGAGGAAAAAAAACAAAAAACGACAAAGUAAACACCAACUAGUUUUAUGGAGUAUACCUCUUCGGUUAAGCCCCUUGCAGAAUCUGGUGGUUUGUGCCAGUUGUCCUGACCCAAGGCUGAAGAUGAGGUCUGUGCUGGUAACGCAUCAUCCGAGGACGCAUUUGAUAGCUGCGUGCCUGUAUUGGGAUUUGAGUCUGAUAGUAA